CACGAAGGGCCAGGGGUCCCACAGGUGAGUGGAGCCCCAGCAGCCCCCUCAGCUCUGCGUGCCCAUGUACUGGUCUUCUCCCUGGCUCUAUACUCAGUGUUCAAGGGGUUGCAGUGAGACGGGGCUUGGGCCGCGGAGCUGCGCCUGGCUUUGCUGCUCCACAAGGGCACCGUGGCUGUCAGCCUGUCCCUGCAACUGCUGCAGAGCCACGUAGGGUUACAGGUGGUGGCUGGCUGUGGGAUCCACUUCUUGUGCAUGACACUUCUAGGCAUCCGGCUGGGUGCGGCUCUGGCAGUCAGCAGGGCCUCUGCACCAGCUGGCCCAGUCUGUGCUAGAGGGCAUGGUGGCUGGCACCUUCCUCUAUACCACCUUUCUGGAAAUCUUUCCAGGAGCUGGCGACUUCUGAGCAAAGGAUCCUCAAGGUCAUUCUGCUCCUAGAAGGGUGUGCCCUGCUCACUGGCCUGCUCUUCAUCCAUAUCUAG
rnacentral:lncRNA from 1 species